rnacentral:rRNA from 1 species
UAGGGAAUAUUAGUAAUGGGCGAAAGCCUGAACUAGCAACACCGCGUGUGCGAAGAAGGCCUUCGGGUUGUAAAGCACUUUUCGAGAGGAAGAGGAAGGACGGUACCUGCAGAAUAAGUCUCGGCUAACUACGUGCCAGCAGCCGCGGUAAAACGUAGGAGACGAGCGUUAUCCGGAUUUACUGGGCGUAAAGCGCGUGCAGGCGGCAUGGCAAGUUGGAUGUGAAAGCUCCCGGCUUAACUGGGAGAGGUCGUUCAAUACUGCCAGGCUUGAGAGUGGUAGAGGGAAGCGGAAUUCCGGGUGUAGUGGUGAAAUGCGUAGAUAUCCGGAGGAACACCAGUGGCGAAAGCGGCUUCCUGGCCCAUUUCUGACGCUCAGACGCGAAAGCUAGGGUAGCAAACG